GGGUGGAACAAAACUAUUGCUAUGGGAGUUCUUAUGACUGGGGAGCUAUUAUUAUACAGGGACAGCGAUCAAUUUAAAACAAGUCAUUGCAGAAGUUGAUUAGUGAGUUUGUAAACUUUAUUUGCGCGUAAAGGGGGUGCUUUGCCAUUUAGCCUUAGGAUGGAAUUAUUUUCAUUAGGCCAAAUCAACUCCCCAUUAUUAAUAUAUGCUGUAAUGCCUUUGUCCCGUUACAUUUAUUCCUAGGAAAACAUCAAGGAAGUGGAGCAGCACCACUCCCCUUCAAGUAGCUCCAGUUCUGACAGCUAUGACUCCUCCCUGGAGAGACCGAAGAGACCAGAGAGAGACAGGCCCAAGAACAAGAAGAACCAAAAUAGGCCACACCAUGGUGACUACAAUGGCCAGUCAGCUCAGCAUGCGUGUGAUCCUUCAACUGGUGGCCAUGGCAACCCACAGAGGUCAGAGAGGUCAGCAGGCCAACACAGGAGCGGUAGCGGUGACUAUGACAAGUACAGCGACUACAGCGAAGACAAGUAUAACUAUUAUGACGAGGAGGAGAUGUGGCAGGUGAAAGACUCUACUUCUCUCAGCCAAGGCCUGGGCAGGGUACACAGUUCCAAGAACCAGAUGAAGAGGGGUGGCAUGAAGGUCAUGUAGAAACAACAACAGUGUAUGUAUGGACUGUAUGGAUUUCGUGUUGAAGGGUCUUGUCGAAUGGUAUUCAAGUUUGUCGAGGUUAACAGUCUAGUGGCUAUAGUAG
ensembl:lncRNA